UUCUCCUUCACUGGAGACCCAAGCUUUCAUCUUCUCUGCAGCGGUCACCCACAGCCAAGGAGAAGCCGCCGCCCCAAACCGCUGAAAAGAAACAACAUCGGAGAGCACCUCCUCGCCUCUGCUCUCUCUCCAACCCGGAGGCCCCCGUUCUCUUCUUCAUCUCCCUGCUGAUUGGCCUCCAUAAAAGUCAGCCACCACCUCCAGUUUAGCUCCACUAUGGCCCGCGAUCCAUCAUCGGCGUAGACCAACCUCCACCAAAAUCGACAGCGCCACAGCCUGAACAGCCCCAGCAGCGACCCCCCCUUCUCGGUCGUUCCUCUUCACUGCUAGCCACCUGAAACGGAGGAGAAGAAGAAGGCGAUAGAUCUGCAGCGAAGCAGAUCCAAAAGAACCCGAGACCAGAUCCGAAAACAAGGAAG
rnacentral:lncRNA from 1 species